rnacentral:rRNA from 1 species
ACGAACGCUGGCGGCGUGCUUAACACAUGCAAGUCGAACGGAAAGGCCCUGCUUUUGUGGGGUGCUCGAGUGGCGAACGGGUGUGUAACACGUGAGUAACCUGCCCUUGACUUUGGGAUAACUUCAGGAAACUGGGGCUAAUACCGGAUAGGAGCUCCUGCUGCAUGGUGGGGGUUGGAAAGUUUCGGCGGUUGGGGAUGGACUCGCGGCUUAUCAGCUUGUUGGUGGGGUAGUGGCUUACCAAGGCUUUGACGGGUAGCCGGCCUGAGAGGGUGACCGGCCACAUUGGGACUGAGAUACGGCCCAGACUCCUACGGGAGGCAGCAGUGGGGAAUAUUGCACAAUGGGCGGAAGCCUGAUGCAGCAACGCCGCGUGCGGGAUGACGGCCUUCGGGUUGUAAACCGCUUUCGCCUGGGACGAAGCGUGAGUGACGGUAAUGGGUAAAGAAGCACCGGCUAACUACGUG